rnacentral:rRNA from 1 species
UACGUAGGUGGCAAGCGUUGUCCGGAUUUAUUGGGCGUAAAGGGCGCGCAGGCGGUUCGUUAGGUCCGAGGUGAAAUCUCCCGGCUCAACUGGGAGGGGUCUUCGGAUACCGGCGGGCUUGAGGUGAGCAGAGGUGAGCGGAAUUCUGGGUGUAGUGGUGAAAUGCGUAGAUAUCCAGAGGAACACCAGUGGCGAAGGCGGCUCACUGGGCUCCACCUGACGCUGAGGCGCGAAAGCGUGGGGAGCGAACCGG